AGUGAACGCUGGCGGUAGGCCUAACACAUGCAAGUCGAACGGCAGCACAGUAAGUUCUUGCUCUUACGGGUGGCGAGUGGCGGACGUGUGAGGUAUACAUCGGACUCUACUUUUUCGUGUGGGAUUACGUAGGUAAACUUACUCUAAUACCGCAUACGACCUACGGUUGAAUGCAGGGGAUCUUCUUACCUUGCGCGUUUGAAUGAGCCGAUGUCGGAUUAUCUAGUUGGCGGGGUAAAUGCCCACCUAGGCGGCGAUCCGUAGCUGGUCUGAGAGGAUGAGCAGGCAAAAGGGGACGGAGACACGGACCAGACUCCAAAGGGAGGCAGCAGUGGGGAAGAUUGGACAAGGGGCGAAAGCCUGAUAAAGCGAGACCGCGUGAGUGAAGAAGGCCUUCGGGGUGUAAAGCCCUUUUGUGGGGAAAGAAAAGCAGGAGGUUAAUAAAGCGAUGUUGUGACGGUACCCAAAGAAUAAGCACCGGCUAACUACGUG
rnacentral:rRNA from 1 species